rnacentral:piRNA from 2 species
UAUUGACUGCCCCAGAGGGUGACAUGGGA